rnacentral:rRNA from 1 species
CUCAGGAUGAACGCUAGCGGCAGGCUUAACACAUGCAAGUCGAGGGGUAUAUUUCUUCGGAGAUAGAGACCGGCGCACGGGUGCGUAACGCGUAUGCAAUCUACCUUUUACAGAGGGAUAGCCCAGAGAAAUUUGGAUUAAUACCUCAUAGUAUAUCACAAUCGCAUGAUUGAGUUAUUAAAGUCACAACGGUAAAAGAUGAGCAUGCGUCCCAUUAGCUAGUUGGUAAGGUAACGGCUUACCAAGGCUACGAUGGGUAGGGGUCCUGAGAGGGAGAUCCCCCACACUGGUACUGAGACACGGACCAGACUCCUACGGGAGGCAGCAGUGAGGAAUAUUGGACAAUGGGCGCAAGCCUGAUCCAGCCAUGCCGCGUGCAGGAUGACGGUCCUAUGGAUUGUAAACUGCUUUUAUACGAGAAGAAACACUCCUUCGUGUAGGAGCUUGACGGUAUCGUAAAAAUAAGG